rnacentral:lncRNA from 1 species
CAAACGGAUCCGGGUUGGUGGAGCUCCCGCCCCGAUCUGUCUCGACGGGGGAAGUAAAUGGGAGAAAAUAAACGGAUUCGGGGCAGGAAAUGGGGUAAAUUUUACGAUUCGAGACGGAUUCGGGACAGAAAAUGUGAGAAAUUUUGACCCGCCCCGAAUUCGCCCUGCCAUGAUCCAUCCCGAAUCCGCCUCGAAAAUCAUUUAUAUUUUUAAAAAUAUUCUUAAAAAAUAAUGUAUUUACAAAAAAAGUUCAAGUUAGUACUCUUAUUACUA